GAUGAACGCUAGCGGGAGGCCUAACACGUGCAAGCCGAGCGGUAUUGUUUCUUCGGAAAUGAGAGAGCGGCGUACGGGUGCGGAACACGUGUGCAACCUGCCUUUAUCUGGGGGAUAGCCUCUCGAAAGGAAGAUUAAUACUCCAUAAUAUAUUGAACGGCAUCGUUUAAUAUUGAAAGCUCCGGCGGAUAGAGAUGGGCACGCGCAAGAUUAGCUAGUUGGUGAGGUAACGGCUCACCAAGGCGAUGAUCUUUAGGGGGCCUGAGAGGGUGAUCCCCCACACUGGUACUGAGACACGGACCAGACUCCUACGGGAGGCAGCAGUGAGGAAUAUUGGUCAAUGGGUGCAAGCCUGAACCAGCCAUCCCGCGUGAAGGACGACUGCCCUAUGGGUUGUAAACUUCUUUUGUAUAGGGAUAAACCUACCCUCGUGAGGGUAGCUGAAGGUACUAUACGAAUAAGCACCGGCUAACUCCGUGCCAGCCGCCGCCGUAAAAC
rnacentral:rRNA from 1 species